rnacentral:lncRNA from 1 species
AAUUGAAGAGAAGCCUGAAGAACCAGCAAUUAAGGAAAAAGCUGAUGAACCAGCAGUGCAAGAAAAACUUGAAGAACCAGCUGUGGAAAAGAAACCUGAAGAACCAGUGGCUACGGAGAAACCUGAAGAACCAGCAAUUAAGGAAAAAGCUGAUGAACCAGCAGCGCAGGAGAAACCUGAAGAACCAGCUGUGGGAAAGAAACCUGAAGAACCAGUGGCUACGGAGAAACCUAAAGAACCAGCAAUUAAGGAAAAAGCUGAUGAACCAGCAGUGCAAGAGAAACCUGAAGAACCAGCUGU